ACUCCCCCUCUGUCAUGGGCCUGAGAGCUUCGCGCCGUCCGAGGACGGUGCUUUCACCGUGGGCGAGCCGUGCGGGACGGCUGCUUUUCAGAGUGGCCAGUG
rnacentral:ncRNA from 1 species